CUACGGGUAUGCUGUUAGUGUGGCUGUGGGCUUGUAGAGGUGCGCGGUGCUGCUGCUCUGGCAUCCGGGAGCGCUGCCCCGAGGUGCAGUGAGGACCGGGAACAGCUUUUAGCUGGAGGCAGUGCGAAGCUGAGGAGCUGGAGCUCAGGUGGCAGAGCUGGCCAACAGAAAGCUGCAAUGGAGCAGAAGCAUUGCAAAGAUGCUGGAGCCAAACUGAAGAUCCUGCCCUGAGAACCUGGAGUAGCUUCACCUGACAGCAUUGGAAAAUGGAGAGCUGGAGCUGAAACAGCAUGUGUGGGCAGUGAAAUAAAGCUUGUG